UUGUGCUGCAUGUUGGUGGCUGAUCGCCUUUUGCUGGUGCUGUGUUCCCCUGCGCUAAAGAGUGAUUUGCAUUGUGUGCUGUUGGCUGACUGCUGCUUGCCUCCUGGUCCCAUGAAUUUUUGGUUAUUGGCUGCCGGACAAGUGGCAUGGUUUCCGCAUGCUUGACCUGGUGGUUGAUUCUAGGUAUACUGGCACCUGUUACUCUCACAGCUGGUAAUCUUAUAUCAGAGUUGGCUAAACCCAUUGUUAUGGAACGUUUCAUAAUUAAUGGAGUCUGCCAUUCCCAGGUUUGAGAGCUGGGGUCACAGAGUAAGCAGGCUGGUCACCCCAGGAGGCGGUAAUUCCCCGUUCACUGAGUGCGGCGAGUAGGUUUUUGCAGUUGGCCCCACUGGAGUGCGUGUGUGAUUUAGUGCACGUGUGGGUAUUUAUUAUUCUGGGUAUCAUUGAAGCCCAGAGCCAGCCUACUGGUAAGCCCCAGCUCUGUAUUUUUUGUGUAAAUUUGUGUUUUGUUCUCCCUUGGAAUUGUGCUUGCAACCUUUUUGAGAUGCUGAUUGCUCUUAUUUGUGCUCGAGAUGGACAU